GCGUCGGUGGUACAACGGUUUAGCACACGCUCCUGGAAAGAGUAAAAUUUGUGUUCGAUUCCCGGCUGACGCA